rnacentral:rRNA from 14 species
GAGCGUACGGUGGAUGCCUUGGCACCAGGAGCCGAUGAAGGACGUAGGAGGCUGCGAUAAGCCUCGGGGAGCUGUCAACCGAGCUGAGAUCCGAGGGUGUCCGAAUGGGGAAACCCAGCACGAGUGAUGUCGUGUUACCUGCACCUGAAUAUAUAGGGUGUGUGGAGGGAACGUGGGGAAGUGAAACAUCUCAGUACCCACAGGAAGAGAAAACAACAGUGAUUCCGUCAGUAGUGGCGAGCGAACGCGGAAGAGGCCAAACCAUGUGCAUGUGAUACCCGGCAGGGGUUGUGCGUGUGGGGUUGUGGGGUUUGUCUUGUCGAUUCUGCCGGAUCGGCCGACAGUAAGAAAUCAUGCGGUUAGUCGAAGUGGUCUGGGAUGGCCUGUCGUAGAGGGUGAGAGUCCCGUAGACGAAAACUGUGUGACUGUCGUGAUGAAUGCCCAAGUAGCAGCGGGCCCGUGAAAUCUGCUGUGAAUCUGUCGGGACCACCCGAUAAGCCUGAAUACUCCCUGGUGACCGAUAGCGGACUAGUACCGUGAGGGAAAGGUGAAAAGUACCCCGGGAGGGGAGUGAAAUAGUACCUGAAACCGUGUGCCUACAAUCCGUUGGAGCUUCAUGUUUACAUGGGGUGACAGCGUGCCUUUUGAAGAAUGAGCCUGCGAGUUAGCGGUGCGUGGCGAGGUUAACCCGUGUGGGGUAGCCGUAGCGAAAGCGAGUCCGAACAGGGCGAUUGAGUAGCACGAUCAAGACCCGAAGCGGAGUGAUCUAUCCAUGGGCAGGUUGAAGCGCGGGUAAGACCGCGUGGAGGACCGAACCCACUUAGGUUGAAAACUGAGGGGAUGACCUGUGGAUAGGGGUGAAAGGCCAAUCAAACUCCGUGAUAGCUGGUUCUCCCCGAAAUGCAUUUAGGUGCAGCGUUGCGUGUUUCUUGCCGGAGGUAGAGCACUGGAUAGCUAAUGGGCCCCACAAGGUUACUGACGUUAGCCAAACUCCGAAUGCCGGUAAGUGAGAGCGCAGCAGUGAGACUGCGGGGGAUAAGCUCCGUAGUCGAGAGGGAAACAGCCCAGAUCGCCGGCUAAGGCCCCCAAGCGUGUACUAAGUGG